CAGGCGUCUAAGGUAGGCUUCCACUACAUUGCCUUACUGAUGAGUCCAGUAGUGGAAGCCGGGACGAAACGCCAA
rnacentral:hammerhead_ribozyme from 15 species